rnacentral:miRNA from 1 species
AAGCUGCCAGUUGAAGAGCUAU